rnacentral:rRNA from 1 species
GUUGGGAAUAUUGGACAAUGGGGGUAACCCUGAUCCAGCAAUCCCGCGUGAGUGACGAAGGCCUUCGGGUCGUAAAGCUCUUUUAGUUGGGAAGAAGGGAAACUUGACUGUACCAACAGAAAAAGCACCGGCUAACUCUGUGCCAGCAGCCGCGGUAAUACAGAGGGUGCAAGCGUUGCUCGGAAUCAUUGGGCGUAAAGCGCGUGUAGGCGGUUUAUUAAGUCUGGUGUGAAAGCCCGGGGCUCAACCCCGGAAGUGCACUGGAUACUGGUAAACUAGAGGACGAGAGAGGAUGGUGGAAUUCCUGGUGUAGGGGUGAAAUCCGUAGAUAUCAGGAGGAACAUCGGUGGCGAAGGCGGCCAUCUGGCUCGUUUCUGACGCUCAGACGCGAAAGCGUGGGUAGCAAACAGGAUUAGAAACCCGUGUAGUCC